GACGAACCGUGCGAACGUUAUUCGGAAUCACUGGGCUUAAAGCGCGUGUAGGCGGGAGGCACGUCCGUCGCUGAAAUCCCCGCUCCACCGGGAACGGCGGCGGAUGACGACCGUCCUCGGAGGGCGUAGGGGGACCUGGAACUUCCGGUGGAGCGGUGAAAUGCGCAGAUAUCAGGAGGAACACCGGUGGCGAAGGCGGGUCUGCUGGGCAACUACUGACGCUGAGGAGCGAAAGCGUGGGAGCGAACAGG
rnacentral:rRNA from 1 species